rnacentral:rRNA from 1 species
GUAGGUGGCAAGCGUUGUCCGGAAUUAUUGGGCGUAAAGCGCGCGCAGGUGGUUCUUUAAGUCUGAUGUGAAAGCCCCCGCUCGACGGGGAGGGUCAUUGGAAACUGGGGAACUUGAGUGCAGGAGAGGAAAGUGGAAUUCCACGUGUAGCGGUGAAAUGCGUAGAUAUGUGGAGGAACACCAGUGGCGAAGGCGACUUUCUGGCCUGUAACUGACACUGAGGCGCGAAAGCGUGGGGAGCAAACAGGAUUAGAUACCCUGGUAGUCCACGCCGUAAACGAUGAGUGCUAAGUGCUGGGGGGUUUCCGCCCCUCAGUGCUGCAGCUAACGCAUUAAGCACUCCGCCUGGGGAGUACGGUCGCAAGACUG